UAGGGAAUAUUGCGCAAUGGAGGAAACUCUGACGCAGCGACGCCGCGUGGGUGAUGAAGGUUUUCGGAUCGUAAAGCCCUGUCGGAAGAGAAGAAAAACGGUAUGGCUAACAUCCAUACCGCUUGACGGUAUCUUUAAAGGAAGCACCGGCUAACUACGUGCCAGCAGCCGCGGUAAUACGUAGGGUGCAAGCGUUGUUCGGAAUCAUUGGGCGUAAAGCGCGUGUAGGUGGUUAGGUAAGUCAUGUGUGAAAUCCCUGGGCUCAACCCAGGAAGUGCAUGUGAAACUACCUAGCUAGAGGACGGUAGAGGAAGGUGGAAUUCCUAGUGUAGAGGUGAAAUUCGUAGAUAUUAGGAGGAAUACCGGCGGCGAAGGCGGCCUUCUGGGCCGGUCCUGACACUGAGACGCGAAAGCGUGGGGAGCAAACAG
rnacentral:rRNA from 1 species